rnacentral:rRNA from 1 species
GACGAACGCUGGCGGCGUGCUUAACACAUGCAAGUCGAGCGGAAAGGCCCUUCGGGGUCCUCGAGCGGCGAACGGGCGAGUAACACGUGAGUAACCUGCCCCAGACUUUGGGAUAACCCUCGGAAACGGGGGCUAAUACCGGAUACGACACAGCUUCGCAUGGGGUCUGUGUGGAAAGUUUUUCGGUUUGGGAUGGGCUCGCGGCCUAUCAGCUUGUUGGUGGGGUGAUGGCCUACCAAGGCGACGACGGGUAGCCGGCCUGAGAGGGCGACCGGCCACACUGGGACUGAGACACGGCCCAGACUCCUACGGGAGGCAGCAGUGGGGAAUAUUGCACAAUGGGCGGAAGCCUGAUGCAGCGACGCCGCGUGAGGGAUGACGGCCUUCGGGUUGUAAACCUCUUUCAGCAGGGACGAAGCGUAAGUGACGGUACCUGCAGAAGAAGCGCCGGCCAACUACGUG